GCCUGGGUGGCUCAAUUGGUUAAGCAUCUGACUUCAGCUCAGGUCAUGAUUCUGCAGUCUGUGGGUCCCAGCCCCACGUCGGGCU
rnacentral:tRNA from 1 species